UCAAACUUGGUCAUUUAGAGGAAGUAAAAGUCGUAACAAGGUUUCCGUAGGUGAACCUGCGGAAGGAUCAUUAAUGAAGUUCGAAAGUCGGCUGACCGUGCUGGCGGAGACGCAUGUGCACGUCGGUCGCGAACCAUCCACACACCGUGAACCUAUGGCCCGGAGUUGUCAUGUCGACUCUCUGGGCACCAUUUUUACACUCUUGCUGUAAAGGAAUGUCAUUCAUAACAUAAAUGAACAACUUUCAACAACGGAUCUCUUGGCUCUCGCAUCGAUGAAGAACGCAGC
rnacentral:misc_RNA from 1 species